rnacentral:rRNA from 1 species
CGGGUAGGCAGUUCGGUAAGUCUCUUGUGAAAGCUCCCGGCUCAACUGGGAGAGGCCAAGGGAAACUGCCGGGCUGGAGUGUGGCAGAGGAAGCUGGAAUUCCCGGUGUAGCGGUGAAAUGCGUAGAGAUCGGGAGGAACACCUAUGGCGAAAGCAGGCUUCUGGGCCAUCACUGACGCUGAUCUGCGAAAGCUAGGGGAGCAAACAGGAUUAGAUACCCUGGUAGUCCUAGCCCUAAACGAUGCUCAUUAGGUGUGAGAGGUACCGACCCCUUUCGCGCCGAAGCUAACGCAUUAAAUGAGCCGCCUGGGGAGUACGGCCGCAAGGUUGAA